rnacentral:rRNA from 1 species
GGGUUGUGAGGUUAAGCGACUAAGCGUACACGGUGGAUGCCCUGGCAGUCAGAGGCGAUGAAGGACGUGCUAAUCUGCGAAAAGCGUCGGUAAGGUGAUAUGAACCGUUAUAACCGGCGAUGUCCGAAUGGGGAAACCCAGUGCAAUUCGUUGCACUAUCGUUAACUGAAUACAUAGGUUAACGAGGCGAACCGGGGGAACUGAAACAUCUAAGUACCCCGAGGAAAAGAAAUCAACCGAGAUUCCCCCAGUAGCGGCGAGCGAACGGGGAGCAGCCCAGAGUCUGAAUCAGCUUGUGUGUUAGUGGAACGGUCUGGAAAGUCCGACGGUACAGGGUGAUAGUCCCGUACACCAAAAUGCACAGGUUGUGAACUCGAAGAGUAGGGCGGGACACGUGGUAUCCUGUCUGAAUAUGGGGGGACCAUCCUCCAAGGCUAAAUACUCCUGACUGACCGAUAGUGAACCAGUACCGUGAGGGAAAGGCGAAAAGAACCCCGGCGAGGGGAGUGAAAAAGAACCUGAAACCGUGUAC